CCCCGCCCCCCUCCCGUUGCUACGACGCGCAAGCGCGGCUCCGCCCGUCACUGCGCUUCGGGACGCGGAGCGCGGCGGAGGCGGGGAGGAGGUGUGGCGUCGGCGGGGCGGGCCGAGCGAAGGAGCGAGCGAGUGAGCGAGCGGGCGAGUCCUCAGGAGUGGGCGGGAGCCUGCUGCUGUCCCCGCCCCCUUAAGGGAGAGGCGCGGAAGGAGUCCGUGUCGGCGGCGGGCGGGCCGCCGGCUCCUCUUUAAGGCGGCCGCACGUGCGUGCGGCGGUAGCGGGAGACCCGGAUGCCGGGGCCGUCGGGCCCCACCAUGCCGCAGAUCGUGGAGAAGCUGAGGGAGGUGCUGAAGUCGGGGCGGCGGGAGGCGGGCGACGAUGGGGAGCUGGGCCGGCUGCUGGCCGCCUCGGCCAAGAAGGUGCUGCUGCAGAAGAUCGAGUUCGAGCCCGCCAGCCGCGGCUUCUCCGGCCAGCUGGAGCUGCUGCGGGGGAAGUACGUGCUGCUCAACCCCCGGGCCGGGACCGAGACCGCCAGCCGCCACAGCGGCCUCGAGGAGAGACCGCCCAGCAAGCAGGGUGGCGACCAUGCCGGCGUGGGGGACGGGAUCCCCACGCCCCAGAAGGUGCUCUUCCCCGUGGAGCGCCUCUCCAUGAAGUGGGAGCGGAUCUACCGCGUCGGUGCCGGGCUGCACAACCUAGGGAACACCUGCUUCCUCAACUCCACGGUGCAGUGCCUGACCUACACGCCGCCGCUCGCCAACUACCUGCUCUCCAAGGAGCACAGCCGCACCUGUCAACAAGGAGGCUUUUGCAUGAUGUGCAUUAUGCAGAACCACGCCAUCCAGGCUUUUGCCAACAGCGGCAAUGCAAUAAAGCCAGUGUCCUUCAUCCGAGACCUCAAGAAGAUUGCCCAGCACAUCCGCUUCGGGAGACAGGAGGAUGCACAUGAGUUCCUGCGUUACACCAUUGAUGCCAUGCAGAAGGCCUGCUUGAAUGGCUGUACCAAGUUGGAUCGCCAGACCCAGGCCACGACGCUGAUUCACCAGAUCUUUGGCGGUUACCUGCGGUCCCGUGUGAAGUGCACGGUGUGCAAGGGCGUCUCGGACACCUAUGAUCCUUACCUGGACCUGGCACUGGAGAUUGGGCAAGCCGCAAACAUAGUGCGGGCGCUGGAGCUGUUUGUGAAGCCAGACAUGCUGGGGGGUGAGAACGCCUACAUGUGUGCCAAAUGCAAGAAGAAAGUGUCGGCCAGCAAACGCUUCACCAUUCACCGAGUCUCCAAUGUUCUCACGCUCUCACUGAAGCGCUUUGCUGACUUCGGUGGAGGCAAAAUCACAAAGGACGUGGGGUACCCUGAGUUCUUGAACCUCCGCCCUUACAUGUCUCAGAACAACGGGGAUCCUGUCAUGUACGAACUCUAUGCAGUGCUGGUGCACUCUGGCUACAGCUGCCACGCAGGGCAUUAUUACUGCUACGUGAAGGCCAGUAAUGGGCAGUGGUAUCAAAUGAACGAUGAUGUGGUCCGCUGCAGCAAUAUCAAAGUGGUCCUCAACCAGCAGGCCUACGUGCUGUUCUACCUGAGAAUCCCCAGCCCCAGGAAGAGCCCAGAGGGGCCCAUUGCCAGAGCUGCCUCCAGCCUGUCUGGCCGCACUCGCAGCAUCAUCUCUGAUCAGGUCAAGAAAACUGUGAACUUCAGGUCCCUGUCUUCACCGCCAGUGGGCCGGAGACCAGACAUGCUGCCGGGGAAGAAGCUGCCGAGGAAGAAGCUGCCAGGGCCAGAGGAGGUCGGAGUCCCUGUGGCCCGCAGCAUGGUCAGGACGAGGCCGAAGCUGUCGAACGGAACCGCUCCACCGAAGCUGCCUGCUGGGUCCCCAUCACCCAAACUGCCUCUCAGAGCCACCCAUUCGGACACAGCACUGCCCAAGGAUGCAGCCCGGAAGCCCAAGAAGCCACUCUCCUUCCCACAGCUGCCUCCCGUGCCCAGAGCAGGUCAGAGAUUCUGCAACACCAGCAAUGCAAGUGGGGCCAAAGCAGGGCUGUCCCGGCAGAGCUCCUGGGAGAGCAAGCAGCCACCUACCUCAUCCAAGCUGCCGCUGGAGCCCAGCUCCAGCCAAGAGCCCGGGGGCAGUGAGGAGAACACCAGGACCCUGGAGAAGGACUCCUGUGGCAGCAGUGCUGACAGCCUAGUGCAUGGCACACCGGGAAAGUUGGCCAAAGCGUCCCAGAAGGCCAAGAGCAGAACCAGCAGCUUCUGUACCUCUCAGGAAACGGACUGUGGCACGGACCUCCCUGCUGGCCCUGGCACCGAGCUGGCUGCCUCCAAAGACUCCAAGUUGGCAAAACCUAAAUCCUCCCUGUUGGCCAACUCUGCUCUGGAGCCAGGCAGCACCGUGUCACCGCCACCAGCCAAGAAGCUGGCACUCUCUGCCAAAAAGGGCAGCACCCCGCGGAAGGCGAGCGGAAGUGACCGCCACACACAACCUCACCCACAAUUUGCUGACCGCACCUGCCCCACGAACACCACCCACUCUGAGUCCACUCCCCAGCCUUUCGGCAAGUCAAGGCUGUCCUCAUCUGCUCUCAAAAUGCCAAAUCCUGAAAAGCCUACCUUCAGCUUCAUCCUCAGCUCAGCCCCUUGGCUCCCAGCCUCCCCCCUGACCAACGGUUCCACUGCCCACCCUUCACACUACCUUCCUUCAUGCAGCAGGGAGAAGGGCACCCCUGGUUCCUCCAAAAAGAAGCAUCAAAAGCAGCAUGGAGCAGUCGGCAGCUCUCGUGCUCUAGCUGUGAAGGGCAAGGAUGAAGUCUCCAACCCCCCCACGAAGGAGAAGAAACUCACUCAGGAGGGCUUGGUGUCCCUCGUGGGGAAGGAGGCGGCAGGCAAGGGUCCCAGCAGCAGCCAGGAGGAGCUGGGCUCUCGGAACCUGGAGAGCCGGCCCAAGCCACAGGUGUCGGACCCCAGUGCUUCCCUGGACAAGGAAUCCAUCUACCUCUGCAAGAAGAAGAAAAAGAAGAAGAGGAGGAGAAUGGAGGAGACAGAAGAGCACUGCCCUGGGACACUGUCCUCGGACAGCUCUAGGAGGGCUGAGACGGAGCCCUGGAGGAAAAAGCAGCGGUGCAGUGUGGAGGCUGGUGCUGGAGAGAGCGAGCACCGCAAGCGCAAGUGGAGGGAAAGCCCCAGCAGCCCAGCCUUGGAGCAGCCAGCUGCCAACAGUGACUAUGCCACAAACGGCACCCCAGUGGCAGCGUCCAGCCAGGCUGGAGAUGAGUACAGGCGUUGCCUGGCUGCCCCGAGCCCUGAGACCGGCCAUGGGACUGGCAUAGCACCUGAGAGCCAGAAGGAGUCCAGCGUGGUGGAGGAGCUGCUUGGGAACUCCUUGGACAAGGCUUAUGGCAAACAAGGUAAUCCGUGCUCGCCUGGGUGGGCAAACAGCCACGCAGCUUGCCUUGAGCCCUGCCUUGAGCCCUGGAUGCGGGCAGAGCCCUCCAUGCUCUGCCAGGGUCUUAGCUUCCCCCAGCACCAGCACAGGCAGCUGCAGAGGCUCCUGGAGCCAGGCAGAUGCACCUGGCCAAGGGGCUGUUGUGGGUGCCACAGAGUGGGGUGCUGGAGUGAGGGGCUCCAGCUGCUGGCCUAGGGUGGGGAUCCGGUGCAGGUGGGUGCAGCGGAGCACAGCGUGGUGCUCCCUGCUGAUCGCACUGCUCCACAGUCUUGACCUGGGAAGGCGAGAUCUCAGCUGUCAGCCAGGAUGCCAUUCAAGACGCAGCGUGGGCCCGGAGCGAGACUGUCAUCGAUGAGUGGGACGAGCAUUUUGACAGAGGGAAGGUAAAGAAGAUUAAACUGA